rnacentral:rRNA from 1 species
GAUAAACGCUGGCGGCGUGCCUUACCAAUGCGAGUCGAACGGGUCACGGGUUCGCCCGUGGUCAGUGGCGUCCGGGUGCGUAACACGUGGGUGACCUACCCCGCACUGGGGGAUACCUGCCCGAAAGGGCAGCUAAGCCCGCAGGCCUUUCUCGGUCGUGACGGAGAAAGAAAGCGGUGCCCGUGAGGGUGCUGUGGUGUGGGGAGGGGCCCGCGGCCUAUCAGCUGGUCGGUGGGGUAAUGGCCUACCGAGGCGCCGACGGGUAGCCGGUCUCAGAGGACGAACGGCCACAGUGGGACUGAGAGAUGGUCCACAGCCCUACGGGGUUUAGCAUGGAGGAAUCUUGCGCAACGGCCAAGCGGCUGGCGCAGCAACGCCGCGUGGAGGACGACGGGCUUUGGCUCGUAAACUCCU